UACGGGGGGGGCAAGCGUUGUUCGGAAUUACUGGGCGUAAAGGGCUCGUAGGUGGCCAACUAAGUCAGACGUGAAAUCCCUCGGCUUAACCGGGGGAACUGCGUCUGAUACUGGAUGGCUAGAGAUUGGGAGAGGGAUGCGGAAUUCCAGGUGUAGCGGUGAAAUGCGUAGAUAUCUGGAGGAACACCGGUGGCGAAGGCGGCAUCCUGGACCAACACUGACGCUGAGGAGCGAAAGCCAGGGGAGCAAAGCGGG
rnacentral:rRNA from 1 species